rnacentral:lncRNA from 1 species
AUGAGGAAACCGAGGCUAAGAGAUGAGCAAUGCCUCUCCCAGAUGUCACAAUUAGAAGUGGCAGAGUCAGGUUUGGAAUCUGGGCUUGUUGGUGGGCCUGGAGCAAUGCUCCAUCAACUCCAUCUUUCUUCUGCCCUCAUGAAGUUUAGAGCCUACCCAGCUCAGUGCCUGAUAUAUAAUAGGUGCUCAACAAAUGGUAGCUGCCAUUUAUUAUUCCAGCAAGAUCCUCAAAUUGUCCUCUGUUUUCAGUAUCUGCCACAUAGCUAUUUCAGUGGCCAAGCCCUGAAGACUAACAACUGCCUCUUGCAUUUUUUAAAAACUUGCUUUAAUUGCAAAUAACAGAACCUGGCCACAGAAGAGGCACAUUCUCUGCCUUUCCAUUGAUUCCCAGGUUUCAGGAGCAAAAGCAAUUAUGGAGUCAAAUUACAGUAUCCUGAGGUGCAAGCCAGUCAUGGCUCCCCAUCUGAGGGAAAGAGGUAAAGUUGCAGGAAGAUGGCUCUAUGCUGUCUUUUGCAAAGCCCUCUGAUCUGCUUCAGGCCCGAAACCUGCCUCCAUGGGUGCUUGUCUGCUAUAUCUGGCAGAUGUUGCGAAGCUCAAGGACUUGCUGAAACUGAAUGAUCUGGCUCGUCUAGGCAAUCUUUUUACAGCCAGGUCAUACCUACUGAAGAGACAAGGCAAGAGCAAGUUUCUGUCAGCAAGGUUCCCUGGAAUAAUUAACCAAGACUGACACAGGUCUCUUCCCCCAAAGAAGGGGCUGCAUGGUUCGGUGGCCUGGGAGUGAGGACCCUGAAUUCUAGUCCGAGCUUUUAUGCUAACUUGCUUUGUGAUUUUUGCCAUUCCCCUCUACACCUCAGUUUUCUGAUCAUCCGUACAAGAGGGUCAGACCAGGUGAUCUCUAUAGUCCCUUCCAGCUCUGACAUUCUGUGUGUUCAGGUUGAGCCUCCUGGAGAACAAAUCUUAGUCUAAUAUUCAUUUACCCUUUCCAGGCUGCUUAGCAGUGAAAGAGAAAAGAAAACAGUCACAUAUUUGAAUGUGAGUCACAAAAGCAAUCCCUUCUACCCCUGUGUGUAAGGAAUGUGGAGCAAAAUGCCACGUGUAUGAUUUUUACAUGAACAAUGAGAGCUUUGAAAAUGCUUUUCCUUUAUGGACUGAACACAGCCCUGUGUUUGCUGAGAGUUCCUGGUAGACCUAUCCCCUCAGUGGAUCAUGUCUCCUCUUAAGGCACUGGGCAGUAUCUGUGCUGUGACUUUAGGCAGUUGAGAGAGCGGAGAUGGAUGAAAGGCAUUGAAAGAGCAAAGGCCAAUUUGCAAAGAGGGUACCAGGCUUCUCCUGGGACUCA